AUUGAACGCUGGCGGCAGGCCUAACACAUGCAAGUCGAACGAGUGGCGGACGGGUGAGUAAUGUCUGGGAAACUGCCUGAUGGAGGGGGAUAACUACUGGAAACGGUAGCUAAUACCGCAUACCAUCGGAUCUGCCCAGAUGGGAUUAGCUUGUUGGUGGGGUAACGGCUCACCAAGGCGACGAUCCCUAGCUGGUCUGAGAGGAUGACCGGCCACACUGGAACUGAGACACGGUCCAGACUCCUACGGGAGGCAGCAGUGGGGAAUAUUGCGCAAUGGGCGAAAGUCUGAUGGAGCCAUGCCGCGUGUAUGAAGAAGGUCUUCGGGUUGUAAAGUACUUUCAGCGGGGAGGCGUUAUCCGAAGAAGAAGCCACGGCUAACUCCGUGCCAGCAGCCGCGGUAAUUC
rnacentral:rRNA from 1 species